rnacentral:rRNA from 1 species
UACGGAGGGUGCAAACGUUGCUCGGAAUCAUUGGGCGUAAAGCGCACGUAGGUGGCCUGUUAAGUCGGGUGUGAAAUCCCUGGGCUCAACCCAGGAAGUGCACUCGAAACUGGCAGGCUUGAGUACUGAAGAGGGUCGCGGAAUUCCCGGUGUAGAGGUGAAAUUCGUAGAUAUCGGGAGGAACACCAGUGGCGAAGGCGGCGACCUGGGCAGAUACUGACACUGAGGCGCGAAAGCGUGGGGAGCAAACAGG